AACGUACGCUGGCGGCACGCCUAACACAUGCAAGUCGAACGAAGUAGCAAUACUUAGUGGCAGACGGGUGAGUAACAUGUAGGUAUCUGCCCUUUGGCCUGGAAUAACACGAGGAAACUUGUGCUAAUACCGGAUAAGUCUUUACGGAGAAAGCUUUAUGCACCAUUGGAUGAGCCUGCACUUGAUUAGUUUGUUGGUGGGGUAAUGGCCUACCAAGACUGUGAUCAAUAGCUGAUUUGAGAGGAUGAUCAGCCACACCGGAACUGAGACACGGUCCGGACUCCUACGGGAGGCAGCAGUCGGGAAUAUUGUACAAUGGGGGCAACCCUGAUACAGCCAUACCGCGUGAGUGAUGAAGGCCCUUGGGUUGUAAAGCUCUUUCACUAAUGAGGAUGAUGACGUUAAUUAGAGAAGAAGUACCGGCUAACUUCGUGCCAGCCGCCGCCGU
rnacentral:rRNA from 1 species